AAACUAACAAGGAUUCCCCUAGUAACGGCGAGUGAAGCGGGAAGAGCUCAAAUUUGAAAUCUGGCAGUCUUCGAUUGUCCGAGUUGUAAUCUAUAGAGGCGUUUUCCGUGCCGGACCGUGUCCAAGUCUCCUGGAAAGGAGUAUCAAAGAGGGUGAUAAUCCCGUACUUAACACGACCACCGGUGCUCUGUGAUACGUCUUCUACGAGUCGAGUUGUUUGGGAAUGCAGCUCAAAAUGGGUGGUGAAUUCCAUCUAAAGCUAAAUAUUGGCGAGAGACCGAUAGCGAACAAGUACCGUGAGGGAAAGAUGAAAAGCACUUUGGAAAGAGAGUUAAACAGUACGUGAAAUUGUUGAAAGGGAAACGAUUGAAGUCAGUCGUGUUCUUUGGAUUCAGCCAGUUCUGCUGGUCUACUUCCUUGGAACGGGUCAACAUCAGUUUUGUCCGGUGGAUAAAGGUAGUAGGAAUGUGACUUCUCCGGAAGUGUUAUAGCCUAUUAUCACAUACACUGGGUGAGACUGAGGACUGCAGCUCGCCUUUAUGGCCGGCCUUCGGGCACGUUCGAGC
rnacentral:rRNA from 1 species